GGGGGGAUGGCUCAGUGGUAAGGGCUGUGCCUGGCCGACCUCAAAGGACUGCACCACCUGAGGUAGCGGGUUCGAAUCCUGCUCUCCCUA